ACUUUCUGCAUAUCAAUAAGCGGAGGAAAAAGAAACCAACAGGGAUUGCCCUAGUAACGGCGAGUGAAGCGGCAACAGCUCAAAUUUGAAAAGCUGGCCUUCGGGUCCGCAUUGUAAUUUGUAGAGGAUGCUUUGGGUGAAACGCCAGUCUAAGUUCCUUGGAACAGGACGUCAUAGAGGGUGAGAAUCCCGUAUGUGACUGGAAAUGUUAACCUAUGUAAAGCUCCUUCGACGAGUCGAGUUGUUUGGGAAUGCAGCUCUAAAUGGGAGGUAAAUUUCUUCUAAAGCUAAAUAUUGGCGAGAGACCGAUAGCGCACAAGUAGAGUGAUCGAAAGAUGAAAAGCACUUUGGAAAGAGAGUUAAAAAGCACGUGAAAUUGUUGAAAGGGAAGCGCUUGCAAUCAGACUUGUUUAAACUGUUCGGCCGGUCUUCUGACCGGUUUACUCAGUUUGGACAGGCCAGCAUCAGUUUCGGCGGCCGGAUAAAGGCUCUGGGAAUGUGGCCUUCACUUCGGUGAAGGUGUUAUAGCCCAGGGUGUAAUACGGCCAGCCGGGACUGAGGUCCGCGCUUCGGCUAGGAUGCUGGCGUAAUGGUUGUAAGCGACCCGUCUUGAAACACGGACCAAGGAGUCUAACAUCUAUGCGAGUGUUCGGGUGUCAAACCCCUGCGCGUAAUGAAAGUGAACGGAGGUGGGAACCGCAAGGUGCACCAUCGACCGAUCCUGAUGUCUUCGGAUGGAUUUGAGUAAGAGCAUAGCUGUUGGGACCCGAAAGAUGGUGAACUAUGCCUGAAUAGGGUGAAGCCAGAGGAAACUCUGGUGGAGGCUCGCAGCGGUUCUGACGUGCAAAUCGAUCGUCAAAUUUGGGGUAUAGGGCGAAAGACUAAUCGAAACCAUC
rnacentral:rRNA from 1 species